CUUGGCUUGGAUGUCACUGAUGGAGGUUUUCAUGUGCGUAUUGCCAGCCGAUAAUUUGAUAAAUAUGAGUGAGAAUACUGUUCGAAGUGUGUACGAAUCGAAAUGGUACGACCAAAUACUGGAUGUACAGAAGACAGUACUCCGCAUGUUGGUGCCGCAGUUACCCGUAGCCAUCAGCAUAAAGUGCAUCAUCCCGAUACUUUCCUUGGAAUAUUUCUGCUCGGUAUUACUUUAUUUUGUAUUCGUAUUUAUUAGAUCGUUUAUACAAAAUGUCAGAUCAUUCACGAAGGAAGAAAAUUGGUUUUUAACAUUCAAAUAAAGUUGCAUUUGUCAAAGUA